rnacentral:tRNA from 1 species
GCCUGGGUGGCUCAGUUGGUUAAGCGUCUGACUUUGGCUCAGGUCAUGAUCUCGCAGUUUGUGAGUUCGAGCCCCGCGUCGGGCU